UACGGAGGGUGCAAGCGUUAAUCGGAAUUACUGGGCGUAAAGCGUGACGUAGGUGGUUUGUUAAGUUCCGUUGUGAAAGCCCCGAGCUCAACUUGGGAAUUGCAGUGGAUGACUGGCGAGCUGGAGUGGCGGUAGAGGAAGGGUGGAAUUCCCGGGUGUAGCGGUGAAAUGCGUAGAUAUCUGGAGGAACACCGGUGGCGAAGGCGGCAUCCUGGACCGACGACUGACGCGUGAGGAGCGAAAGCCAGGGGAGCAAAGCGGGAUUAAGCAAACCCG
rnacentral:rRNA from 1 species